rfam:Camelus ferus unplaced genomic scaffold scaffold1652, whole genome shotgun sequence.
GAGGGAAUAGCUCAGUGGUAGAGUGCAUGCUUAGCAUGCACAAGGUCCUGGGUUCAAUCCCCAGUACCUCCA